AUAGGUGGGAGGCUUUGAAGUGUGGACGCCAGUCUGCAUGGAGCCGACCUUGAAAUACCACCCUUUAAUGUUUGAUGUUCUAACGUGGACCCGUUACCCGGGUUGCGGACAGUGUCUGGUGGGUAGUUUGACUGGGGCGGUCUCCUCCUAAAGAGUAACGGAGGAGCACGAAGGUUGGCUAAUCCUGGUCGGACAUCAGGAGGUUAGUGCAAUGGCAUAAGCCAGCUUGACUGCGAGCGUGACGGCGCGAGCAGGUGCGAAAGCAGGUCAUAGUGAUCCGGUGGUUCUGAAUGGAAGGGCCAUCGCUCAACGGAUAAAAGGUACUCCGGGGAUAACAGGCUGAUACCGCCCAAGAGUUCAUAUCGACGGCGGUGUUUGGCACCUCGAUGUCGGCUCAUCACAUCCUGGGGCUGAAGUAGGUCCCAAGGGUAUGGCUGUUCGCCAUUUAAAGUGGUACGCGAGCUGGGUUUAGAACGUCGUGAGACAGUUCGGUCCCUAUCUGCCGUGGGCGCUGGAGAACUGAGGGGGGCUGCUCCUAGUACGAGAGGACCGGAGUGGACGCAUCACUGGUGUUCGGGUUGUCAUGCCAAUGGCACUGCCCGGUAGCUAAAUGCGGAAGAGAUAAGUGCUGAAAGCAUCUAAGCACGAAACUUGCCCCGAGAUGAGUUCUCCCUGAGACUUAGAGUCUCCUGAAGGAACGUUGAAGACGACGACGUUGAUAGGCCGGGUGUGUAAGCGCAGCGAUGCGUUGAGCUAACCGGUACUAAUGAACCGUGAGGCUUAACCUUACA
rnacentral:rRNA from 1 species